CAAUGCCCUUGGAAAUCCCGAA
rnacentral:miRNA from 1 species